GGGGAAUUUUGGACAAUGGGCGAAAGCCUGAUCCAGCCAUUCCGCGUGCAGGAUGAAGGCCCUCGGGUUGUAAACUGCUUUUGUACGGAACGAAAAGCUCUUCUCUAAUACGGAGGGGUCAUGACGGUACCGUAAGAAUAAGCACCGGCUAACUACGUGCCAGCAGCCGCGGUAAUACGUAGGGUGCAAGCGUUAAUCGGAAUUACUGGGCGUAAAGCGUGCGCAGGCGGUUUUGUAAGACAGAGGUGAAAUCCCCGGGCUCAACCUGGGAACUGCCUUUGUGACUGCAAGGCUGGAGUGCGGCAGAGGGGGAUGGAAUUCCGCGUGUAGCAGUGAAAUGCGUAGAUAUGCGGAGGAACACCGAUGGCGAAGGCAAUCCCCUGGGCCUGCACUGACGCUCAUGCACGAAAGCGUGGGGAGCAAAC
rnacentral:rRNA from 1 species